rnacentral:rRNA from 1 species
ACGGGAGGCAGCAGUGGGGAAUAUUGCACAAUGGGCGCAAGCCUGAUGCAGCAACGCCGCGUGCGGGAUGACGGCCUUCGGGUUGUAAACCGCUUUUAGUAGGGAAGAAGCCUUCGGGUGACGGUACCUGCAGAAAAAGGACCGGCUAACUACGUGCCAGCAGCCGCGGUAAUACGUAGGGUCCGAGCGUUGUCCGGAAUUAUUGGGCGUAAAGAGCUCGUAGGCGGUUUGUCGCGUCUGCUGUGAAAUCCCGAGGCUCAACCUCGGGCCUGCAGUGGGUACGGGCAGACUUGAGUGGUGUAGGGGAGACUGGAAUUCCUGGUGUAGCGGUGGAAUGCGCAGAUAUCAGGAGGAACACCGAUGGCGAAGGCAGGUCUCUGGGCACUUACUGACGCUGAGGAGCGAAAGCGUGGGGAGCGAACAGGAUUAGAUACCCUGGUA